AAUUAUAUGCUUGUCUCAAAGAUUAAGCCAUGCAUGUAUAAGUACACGCCUUAAUACGGUGAUACCGCGAAUGGCUCAUUAAAUCAGCUAUUAUUUCUUAGAUCUUACACAAUUACUUGGACAACUGUAGUAAUUCUAGAGCUAAUACAUGACAAAGUGCCACAGUUUCUGACUGUGUGCGGAUUUAUUAGAUCGAAACCAACCGGCUUCGGCUGUUUGUUUGGUGGCUCUGGAUAACUUAUCUGAUCGCAUGGCCAUGUGCCGGCGACGUAUCUUUCAAGUGUCUGCCCUAUCAACUGACGUUGGUGAGUUACUAGCUCACCAUGGUGUUAACGGGUAACGGGGAAUCAGGGUUCGAUACCGGAGAGGGAGCCUUAGAAAUGGCUACCACAUCUAAGGAAGGCAGCAGGCGCGCAAAUUACCCACUCUCAGCUAGAGGAGGUAGUGACGAUAAAUAACAAUGCAGGACUCAAUAUGAGGCUCUGCAAUUGGAAUGAGUACAAUUUAAAUCCUUUAACAAGUACCAAUUGGAGGGCAAGUCUGGUGCCAGCAGCCGCGGUAAUUCCAGCUCCAAUAGCGUAUAUUAAAUUUGUUGCAGUUAAAAAGCUCGUAGUUGGAUCUCAGGUUUGGUGUGUCGGUCUGGUCUAUGAUCAUCUCCGUUCGCAUCUGCCUAUAUUAGCUGUUAGUUUUCUCAUGGUUCUCUUCAUUGAGUGCUAUGGGGAUCACGGCACGUUUACCUUUGAAAAAUCAGAGUGCUCAAAGCAGGCCUUUGUGCUUGUAUGAUGUUGCAUGGAAUAUGGGAAGAGGACUUCGGUGCUAAUUUUGGUUGGUUUCGGUACUGAA
rnacentral:rRNA from 1 species